CAAAAAUCAUAUCAGCAAUACAAUUGGAGCAUCCCAACACAUAUAUAAUGCAAGAUGAAGAACCAUAGAAAAAUCUCAACAACAUAAUCAUAGCAAAAAAAAAAUCCCUACAAUACAAUCUCACAUAUGAUGGGUGGAGCUGAUGGGACUGAAUGAAGGGACAUCUUCAUGUGCAGCCCACAAAAUGCGUGAACAAGCAAAGAGUCUGAGAUAUGGGAAAGGUCCUUGGGUCUUCGAUGGAGAGAUGGAAUGGAACAGAGAGAUGUCGAGAGGGAGAGGGGUCCUUGGAUCUUUGCCGGAAAGAGUGAAUGGAAGAAAGAGAUGUCGAGAGGGGGAGGGGUCCGUGGG
rnacentral:misc_RNA from 1 species